AGUCGAGCGGAUGAAGAGAGCUUGCUCUCUGAUUCAGCGGCGGACGGGUGAGUCGUUUCUAGGAAUCUGCCUGAUAGUGGGGGACAACGUUUCGAAACGAUCGCUAAUACCGCAUACGUCCUACGGGAGAAAGUGGGGGAUCUUCGGACCUCACGCUAUCAGAUGAGCCUAGGUCGGAUUAGCUAGUUGGUGAGGUAAUGGCUCACCAAGGCUACGAUCCGUAACUGGUCUGAGAGGAUGAUCAGUCACACUGGAACUGAGACACGGUCCAGACUCCUACGGGAGGCAGCAGUGGGGAAUAUUGGACAAUGGGCGAAAGCCUGAUCCAGCCAUGCCGCGUGUGUGAAGAAGGUCUUCGGAUUGUAAAGCACUUUAAGUUGGGAGGAAGGGCAGUAAAUUAAUACUUUGCUGUUUUGACGUUACCGACAGAAUAAGCACCGGCUAACUCUGUGCCAGCAGCCGCGGUAAUACAGAGGGUGCAAGCGUUAAUCGGAAUUACUGGGCGUAAAGCGCGCGUAGGUGGUUUGUUAAGUUGAAUGUGAAAGCCCCGGGCUCAACCUGGGAACUGCAUCCCAAACUGGGAAGCUAGAGUACGGUAGAGGGUGGUGGAAUUUCCUGUGUAGCGGUGAAAUGCGUAGAUAUAGGAAGGAACACCAGUGGGCGAAGCGACCACCUGGACUGAUACUGACACUGAAGUGCGAAAGCGGGGGGAGCAAACAGGAUUAGAUACCCUGGUAGUCCCCGCCCGAAACGAUGUCAACUAGCCGGUGGGAUCCUUGAGAAUUUAGUGGGGCAACUUACGCAUUUAAUUGACCGCCUGGGGAGUACGGGCGCCAGGGUAAAAA
rnacentral:rRNA from 1 species